AUCACUUCUCAGCCUUUUGGCUAAGAUCAACUGUAGUAUGUUAACAAUUUAAUGUAUGAUAUGCCCUCUAUCCGAGGACUGUAUAUUAAAUGGAUUUUUGGAGCAGGUAGAUGGAAUGAGAGCUUGCUCUGUCUACUGUGCGCAUGUAUCUGAUAUCACAAUGCCUUUGGAAACAGAGCACCAAAA